GUUUGGUUUGGUGUGCCUUCUUCUUAUUAUUCUUCUCAUCUUUUCUCUCCCUCCGCCCGAAAACCUAAAAAUCUCACCUUUUUGGCAACGUCGUCAAAGAGAUCGAAAGCCUCGUAGAUGGAUGCUGCUGAAGAUGCAAAAACCAAACGAAUUCUUCUGGCUGCUUGUGCAGUUCUUAUGGUAUCUAUUGUUUUUAUAUUACACACAUUUAAUGAAGAUGCCGAAUCAGGGGAAGAAGAUACAGAUAUCGAAGAAAGCGAUAAAAUUGCCAAGUUAGGUCAUGAAGAUGAUGAAUCAGGAGAAGAAGAUACAGAUACUGACAAAAAUGAUAGCAUUGCAAAGUUUGCUGAAGCACUUAAGCAUGUCGCGAAGGCAAUAAGAAGUAACUAUGUUCAUUGGACUCAAGAACUUAUGGAGAAGUUACUACAGCUGGAGAAUGAAGGGUAUGAUGAGAUGAUCCUAGAACGGGCUUUUGAUGCUUUAUACAAGAAUGAAGUGAAAGCCCGGAGCUUUAUGGUAAGGCCUCGUGACUGGAAAUUAGAGUGGAUGAGGAAAUUUGUGGAUGGUGAGGUGCAAAACUGAUGGGAAAUGGGAAGCUGUUUU